UCUUCUGAUGAUAUAAUUUGCGAUUGAAUUUGGCACUGGAGACUCUCGCCGGAGUCUCUCAACAGGACCGAAGAAAUGAUAUUCAAUUCUUACAUAUGCUGAAC
rnacentral:snoRNA from 1 species